GAUCAGAAACUACCCCAGUGGUAGAGCCUACUAAGCUGGUGCUCCCGAUGAAAGUCAACCCAUAUUCUGUCAUCGACAUCACACCAUUCCAGGAGGACCAGCCGCCCACCCCCGUGCCCAGCGCUGAGGAGGAGAAUGUGGGUCUCCAUGUGCCCUGCGGGUACUUGGUGCCUGUACCCUGCGGCUAUGCGGUGCCCUCCAACCUGCCCCUCCUGCUGCCCGCCUACUCCAGCCCGGUCAUCAUCCGCGCCACGUCCCUGGACGAAGAAGAAACGGCAGAAGUCACAGAAGUUCGCCAGCCCAAUUCUCUGAGUUCCGAGGAGCCUCCAACCAGUGAAGAUCACGUCGGUCGAGAGGACAGCGCACUUGCCCGCUGGGCCGCAGACCCGGCCAACACAGCCUGGAUGGAGAAUCCAGAAGAAGCAAUUUACGAUGACGUUCCAAGGGAAAACUCAGACUCUGAACCAGGUUUGAUUUUGUCUGGAAUUGAUUUGAGGAGAUUCAGCUCAGCAGCCUUUCCCUCUGGAUGCCAAAGUGACUAUUUAGUGGACGGCCCAGACGUUUUCUGUAUUCAUGUUUUGUAUGUUGCUUCUAGAAUGGCUUAUUGAUGUGUGGUGGAAUAUUGGUGUUUGUGCACAUAUGUGUGUGUGCUUAUAACCCUUGAAAUAGGGCAGUUUAAUCUUACUUAUCCCAAGCAAACAGAGGAGUUAAAGGUACAGAAAAUGCCGGCAAAGAGGUAGGAAACACGGCGGCUGAGAAGCAGCAAUGGAUAUCGAAUAAAUGACAUCAAUGAGAAAGUAGAGAGAAUCAGGCAAAGGUAAUAGUCAAAGAAAUAACUAAGAAUUCUCUACAAUUAAAGAAAAACAUAAAUUCUCAGAUUUCAGAAAUAGAGAUUGAAAGCAAGAUGAAUUACACGUUGAUCCAUACCUAGGCCAAUACAAUGGAGACCGCAGAGCACCAAGCUCAGGGUGAAUCUCCUGAGAGCAACUGGAGAGAAAACAUGGCUGCCUACAAAGGAACCGCUAUUCGACUUACCCACAGGCUGGGGGCGGGUUCUCAAAGCGAAGAAGGACGUGGCUCUUUUAGCCUGAGCGGCCACGUCCAGCAAAGUACAGUCCUUUAAAAAGGGAGAUGGGCCGCAUGAGGCAGAGCGGGGGAACUUGCUGCCCAUAGAACCUAAGGAAAUAGUUAAUGAUGCACUGGCUGCAGGGAAGAGCACACUGAACCACGAAGAAGGUGACGGGAGGCAGGAGGGAGUGGGGAGGCAGGAGGGAAUGGGGAGCCCGGGAAGUGUCGGGCGUGUGGAGCGUCGAUACCAGCACCGCUCAAGGCAGCGCUGAUAGUGCCGGUUGAGUUUAAGAUGGAGCCGGAACCCCCGCCAGUGCCGACUGAAGGGGAGGGUGACCGUUCAUGCCGUGUGUUCUGAAGUUCUGAAGUCGGCAUUUUUCAGGGGGAGGAUCUUAUUACCGAUUUUUUUUUUUUGCUAUGGAUUGGUCCAGUUUGCGCUUUAUGGGUAACUGCUAAGAAAAUAGGAAUAGAUUAUUUAACUUUGAAACCAGUAGUGCAAAAACCAAUCUGGUAAAUGCAAGAAAAUAUAAAAUAAGAAAGCUUUGCAAAUCAUAUGAGAAAAGACUGCAAAAUAAGUACAAACAUAUUGGUACGCAUAGUAAAGUGCAUCCUAUUGCCAGUAAAAGAAAUCCUCAGAUUGGAUAAAAUAGCAAAGCUAGCCAUAAAUUCUUGUGAGAGAUACAUAAGAGUACAGAAGAUUUGUAAGUAAAUGGAUGGAAAAAGAAAUAUAAUGCAAAUUCUAACCAAAGUAUUGUCAGUAUAACUAUAAUAAUACACUAAAUGUUAAGCCAUAAGCAAGGAAUAAUUCAUGAGGAAGAUAUAUAACAGUUCUAAACUUAUAUGCACCUAACAGCAUAGCCUUAAGAUAUAUAAGCAAAAUAUAACAAGGCUUAAUCAGAAAUAUGUAAAUACGCUGUUGGGGUGAGAGAUAUUAAGAAAACUGUCUCUGCUAUUGACAGAUCCUGGACAUAAAAUCAGUAAACUGGCCAGGCAUGGUCGCUCACGCCUGUCAUCCCAACACUUUGGGAGGCCAAGGUGGAUGGAUCACUUGAGGUCGGGAGUUCAAGACCAGCCUGGCCAACAUGGUGAAACCCCAUCUCUACUAAAAAUACAAAAAUUAGACAGGCGUGGUGGCGGGCGCCUGUAAUCCCAGCUACUUGGGAGGCUGAGGCAGGAGAAUCGCUUGAACCCAGGAAGCGGAGGCUGCAGUGAGCCGAGAUUGUGCCACUGAUCUCCAGCCUGGGAAAUGAGUGAAAACUCUGUCUCAAAAAAAAAAAA
rnacentral:sRNA from 1 species